rnacentral:rRNA from 1 species
AUACGGAGGGUGCAAGCGUUAAUCGGAAUUACUGGGCGUAAAGGGCGCGUAGGCGGUCUAUCAAGUCAGGUGUGAAAUCCCACGGCUCAACCGUGGAGGUGCAUCUGAAACUGAUAGACUUGAGUAUGGGAGAGGAAAGUGGAAUUCCCGGUGUAGAGGUGAAAUUCGUAGAUAUCGGGAGGAACACCAGUGGCGAAGGCGACUCUCUGGACCAAUACUGACGCUGAGGCGCGAAAGCGUGGGGAGCAAACAGGAUUAGAAACCCUAGUAGUCC